rnacentral:sRNA from 1 species
GGCCGUUGGAAGGAGGAUUAUCGGGUAUUUUGUUCCGUUUUAAAGAUGGCCAUCGCUUGAAUCAUGUUUUUGUUGAACCUGGCAUCCUAGCCCAUUCUGUUCCUGGAAUGCUUUUCUUCCUUUAUUGUUUUUCCUUUUUCUCUUUUUCUUUUUUUCUUUGUCUUGUGUAGCCUCGGUUCCGUAGGUUUCAUACGAAAUAUUUAAUCCAGAUAAGAACUCUAUGCACCCGAAAUGCCAGGUCGCGGCUUACAAGGCAACGGAAGACACUGUACGAGAUCAAAUCUUCCGAGCGAUAUCAGGGGUUCGGUACACGUUUAUUGCACGUUUUUUAGGACCAUAAAUAGUAUAAAUAGAUAACUACUGAUUUAAACAUUGUGGCCGAACUGAUGCAACCGUUCAUCGAGUGGACAUAAUUCGACUUGCCGAAGAGAAGCUAACUUACCUAUACACGUAUUUCCAUGUAAAUAGGCUUGAUAUAUUCCCCUCUUGUUUGUUGGCACAUUUUUUAUUCUUAUAUGGAAUGGUGCUGGCGUGCUUCAAUUUUCUGGUGUUUUAUAUAAAUAUUUAGUUCGAUAAACGCCAUCUUAGCACAACACGGGAUAUUCUGGUUGGACGGCAUCUACAUUCCCAGACUCAUUAGCUAUUCAAACCGAAUCAAUUCUGCUGGAUCCUCUGGUCUAAAUUCUCCGAAGGCAUGUCUCAGCUCUCACAGGCUAAUGUUCCCAUUGAACAAUGUUUGUCCUCCCGAGGUCCUCAUAUGCAACAGACUAUAGACUGUAGGCUAGCAGCAGUUGCUCCCUGACGAACCGCUGCGAUUCGAUCACCACUGGGCUUGUUCCUGCAACGGCCUUUGUCGUUUCAAAUAUAUUCUCACAAACAUGACUGUUUAGUU